ACAAAAUUUCAAUAAGAAACAGAAUUUAUCGCGAACAAUAUCUUCGUGGGAUGGACGUUUGAAAAAUUUCGUUCCAUGUGAUAUGGUAAGAAAAAGCCAUGGGUUUUUGCGCCGUGUACCUCGCUCCGUUCUCACGAUUUCAAAACAAGAAAAUACAGCGCGUCGUAUGUGUGUGUUUUGUGGGCUGCGAGGGUUCAAAAGAUAAGAGGUCGAUAUGUACUGCAAACUGCAGAGUGAAAAUGAAAUGGUAUACCUACGGAGUUGAAAAGGGAAUGUGUCAAAAUGCACGUGUAUUUGUAACAAAGCUAGAACUUUACCACGAAGGGAACAUUACAAUUUGCUUUUAUACUGGAAACAAUCGCUUUCUCAUAUCGAAGCGAUCGUUUGGCAAAAAUAUAUACGAUAUACCACAGCAUACGAGUACAAAAAUAUCAGGAAUGUUGAAGCUCGAGGGAGGUCCUAAGAAAAAAAGGAAUUGGGUUUACCGUGUCACAACUUUAAAUAUGAAUAUCGAUUUCGGUGUCGGUGUGCAAGAUGUGAAAAUUGUAUCCAGAAUUAAAACUCUCUAAUAUGACGACUGCUUCGAAAUAUUCGAACGAUCAACAGCGGUCCUUGUUCGUAUUCGGGCAAUAUACACAGAGGAUAGAGGAUGUUUGGUUCGGCGCAUGUUUACAUUUAGUUGGGAC